AUUACAGGUCAAGCAGAGGGAAGCCACUGAGCUCUUUCUUAAUGUUACUAACAUUAACUUCCCACCAUCCAACUCUGUCCACAUCAGCAGUCGAUGCAGCAAUAGUACUAAACCAUGAAUCACUACCUGAAAGUACACUACAGUCAAGCAAAGAGAGAGUAUCAAUUGUUUGAUUGAAGAGGCGAUAGUUAAAGCUGAGAAAAGGAAUUAUGGUGUUAACUUUAGGCCUUCUUAAUCAGGGAGAGGAGAUGAGCAGCAAUGAGAGCUUUUUAUACGAAGGAAUCCUCAGCUAAAAGUGAAGUUAGUUGAUGGGAGUAGCCUAGCAGUUGCUGUUGUUCUAAUAGCAUUCCAAAAGGAACAACCCAAGUCACCAUUAAAGGCAACUUAUCCAUGGUCUUCAAUUCCAUUGCCAUUGCUUUGUGUCACAGAGGUGUCCAGGUAUUUAUUUCCUGUGAAUAUGGUUAUAGAAGGCUUACAGAAACAUGUGAUUCUGAGACUCGAAACAGUUUGGUCCUUUCAGAUAGUUCUUCUCAACAGGGACAUUAAGUAACACAAAUGGUCACCAGCAGUGGAGGCCAGAAAAGUCAAAGCCAGUUUUCUGCGGUGGCAAAUUGUGGCACUAGCACUGGGACUCCGACUCCUAUGGGAGAGAUAUUGGCGACUCCAAAUCUCAAGGUUUAUAGCUUCACGGAUAUGAAGAGUGCCACUAAAACUUCUAAAUCAGAUACAGUGUUAGGUGUGGGAGGUUUCAGGACAGUUUAUAAGGGUUGGGUGGAUGAGAACACUCUUAAAACCCUGUAAGGUUGGCACAGGGAUGAUGGUUGCUGUCAAGAAAUUGAACCAUGAAAGCGGUGCAGGGAUUUCAAGAAUGGCAGGAAGUCUUUCUCAUCCCAACUUGGUCAAGCUAUUGGGAUACUGUGGGGAGGAUAAGACCUUGUACUCGUAUAUGAGUUUAUGCAGAAGGGAAGCUUGGAAAACCAUCUUUUUAGAAGGAGUUCUGCUAUAGAACCACUGUCAUGGGACAAACGGCUAAAAAUAGCCACUGGAGCUGCAUGGGGACUUGAAUUCUUGCAUUGUUCAGAAAAGAAAAUCAUUUACAGAGACUUUAAGGCCUCCAACAUACUGUUUGAUACGAGGACUAUGAUUGCUCUGUGGAGUUUUUUGUAUCUCCGUUUUUAGUUCAAGAAGGGAAAGUGCAAGAACAAAAUGGAUCGACGCAUGCAACACUUUGGCUUGACAAGAUGUGGAUGUUAGCUGACAAAUAUAAAAAUGCAGAUAUUCUCAUUUUCAACACUGGGCACUGUUGGACGCAUCCAAAAACAUCCGAAGGGAAAGGCUAUUACCAAGAAGGAACACAUGUUUAUCCUAUAGUGACUUGUUGAAGCCACCAUGCACUUUGCCUACUCACUUUGAGGAUUGCCCUCGAAGCUUAAAACCGUGCUGUGUGGCUGACGGGCCUGUCUUUGUUAUUGUGAUUGAAAAUGAUAAGACGUCAGUUCAAGAGUUCCGGUCAAUUCUAUUGUCAUGGAUUUGCUAGAAAGAGGCGGUUGAAGAAGUACUAGGUGGACUCCAUUUGGAUUUUCAGUCAGAGAGGAGCUGGGGCCAAAGCUAAAUCAUGAGUCUGUGAGUGUGAGUGAUCCCACCUGCAAGCUAAAUAUGACCAUCUCCGACAAGUCAUUAACAGUGUAUAGAGAGAGAGAAGCGGAUAUUCACUAUACAACAAUCUAGCUAUCAGAGUUUGGUAAUAUAUCGAUGAGUCCAUCAGGAGCUCUGCAGUUAAAUAGCUCAUCAGAAGUUAAAAAAAAGUAUAGGUCAAAGUUGACCUUAUAUAUAGUUAGAGGUGUUUUAACUUUUUGAUUAUGUAAUAUAACCAAAUUUUAUAGAAUUGUGAUUUUGUAAUAAGAAGCGUUUUAAAACACCAUA